AAAAAAGAAAAAAACACGAGAAUUGCCCGGGCGGGAAGAAUGUUUUUCCAGAUGAAAAGUUUUCAGCAUCAGAAACUCAACAGCUGCAGCGGGAAAACCUGUCGAAAAGGCCCGGCAAGGACACGAAAAAAAAAAUAUGGAAAGCAGUAUUAAAGUUGCUUCGACCCAAAGCGUGCCGGCUGCCCUUUCAGCUACUGCUGCUCAACUGGAUGUAAUCGAGCCGCUGGAGUCGGUCGAGCAAUUGGCUUCCUGUUGGCCUUCUUGUGCGUAGGUGUUGGCCGUCGGGGAACACUUCGGCUUGUUCAGGAUAUAGCUAUCUUCGUCCUCUGCGCAUUUGGUACACGGUGAACAUCACCACCAGUAAAACGGAGAAUAGACCGACCACGGCUUCCCGAUGACAGCCGCUAGGAUGCUCGCGGUUCAGUCCUCGGUGUUGAGGUACAUAAUUAGGACGCAGCUGCCUUCGAACGGGUGCCGAUUCAGAUCCAUGCCGCCCCUGAAUCUACAUUGAGUGAAAUUUAGUGACUUUGUAUAAUUGUAAAAAAUUUCAAUAAAAAUCCUUUUAGGAUGCGAUAAA